rnacentral:rRNA from 1 species
AUUGAACGUUUGCGGCGGGCCUAACACAUGCAAGUCGAACGCACUAGCAAUAGUGAGUGGCGCACGGGUGCGUAACACGUGGGUAAUCAACCCUUCAGCCUGGGAUAACGACUCGAAAGGGUCGCUAAUACCGGAUACGGCGCGAGAGGCUUCGGCUUCUCACGAGAAAGCCACGCAAGGGGCACUGAAGGACGAGCCUGCGGCCCAUCAGCUAGUUGGUGAGGUAAGAGCUCACCAAGGCUAAGACGGGUAGCUGGUCUGAGAGGGUGAACGGCCACAAGGGGACUGAGACACGGCCCUUACUCCUACGGGAGGCAGCAGUGGGGAAUAUUGGACAAUGGACCAAAAGUCUGAUCCAGCAAUUCUGUGUGUUUGAUGAAGGCCUCGG